rnacentral:lncRNA from 1 species
GUGGGAUGAAUGGGACAUAACUUUCCUGUGUUCACAUAUGAAUGUAUGACCAGUGUAACUCCACAUCAUGCACAACCACAAGAAUGGGAAGUUAUACUCCAUGUAGUUUGAUAUGUCAAAAUACACCCUACUGUCAUGUAUAUCCAAAAAGAACAGAUAAUUUUUUAAAAAGUGGGGAAAAAAUUGUCACAUAACAUAAGGUCACAAAGGGUUUCUCCUAGGUUUGCUUCUAGAAAUAUUACAGUCUAAGGUUUCACGUUCAGGGCUGUGAUGAGUCUUGAGUUACGUGAGUUUCCAUUUCCAGGGGUCUUCUAGCUCCUCUGCUGAUCUGCACUUCCCUGGGGCCUCCUUUUCCUUCCUUGUUUUUACUUCUCUGAAGGAGUUCAAGGAUUUCCUUUAUCAUUUUUUUUUUCAGUGUGGAUCCGCUGAAGUCACAUUUUUCAAAUUUUAUAUGUCCUAAGAUGCAUUUAUUUCACUUUCAUUUUUGACAGAUAUUUUUGCAGAGCGUAGACAUUGUUUUUUCUUUCAGUACUUCAAAGAUAUUGCUUCAUUGUGUUUUACUCACGUUGCUUAUAAUAAAAACAUGUCAAAAUGAUUAUCUUUAUUCCUUUGAAGGUAAAAGUGUCUUUUUUAUCCCUCUGGCUGGUUUUAAGAUUUUUUUCUUUAAUAUGGAUUUUGAGAAAUUUGGUUAUCAUAUGUCUUGAUAUGAUUUUUUUUCAUGUUUCCUGUGCUCAAGGUUUGUUGAACUUCUUGGAUCUGUUAAAUAUAUCUCCACAUUUUGAAAAAAUUUCAGCUAUGAUAGAUUCAUAAAUAUUAUUCUGUCCCUCUCUCCCCCUCCUCUCUUUUGAGACUUUAAUUGCACCUAUGUUAGGAAGCUUGAUGUUUUUCCAAGUUCAAUCAUGCUCUAUUGAUUUAUACUUGAGUGUAUCUUUUCCUAAUAUGUAUAUUUUGGGUUAGUGU